rnacentral:misc_RNA from 1 species
UCUAACUAACAUAUUUAUGGAGGUUUUUCUCAACAAUAACUCCAACAAUAAUGCUAAACAUUAUCUAUUUUCUCUUCCUAUUUUCUUUUGGCUAAUGAACUAACUAAUCUUGAAUUUUGGCACUUAUUACCAUAACAACCCAUUUCUUUUAAUUUUAUCUGUGCAGGACUGCAGGUCACAAACUUGUGUUAAUAAUCAGUUAUAUCCUCAUUUAGAAUUCUGUCCAAAACUACCAUUGCAUUGAUGACAUGGACAGUAAGGAAGAUCUUUAGGGUAUUCUAUUCAAAAGGAGCUAAUAUGAAAUGGAAUCCACCUACUAAAGCUUAUGUGGCUGCCAAAUUACAUGGGCCGAGGCCACAGAAUUUCCACAGCCAAAAAUAUAUUAGCUCUGGCAAUGGAGUCUAUGCCUUAUCGCUUCUUCUCAGCUUAGUAACGGCCUCACAGGAUUUUAAUUAGUGUCUACAUCGACAAGCUAACUUCAAUCUUCAAGGAAAGUCAAACAAAGUUAUGAUUGUAUCACCAUUUAAAGUGCAUGACCUGAAUUGGUAAAUUAAAGAAUUAGAUACAAUUG